rnacentral:rRNA from 1 species
GACGAAGGUGGCAAGCGUUGUUCGGAUUCACUGGGCAUAAAGGGCGCGUAGGCGGCUCCGUAGGUGGCGUGUGAAAGCCCCCGGCUCAACCGGGGAAGUGCGCGCCAAACCACGGUUCUCGAGGGCGGUAGGGGGGACUGGAACUCUCGGUGGAGCGGUGAAAUGCGUAGAUAUCGAGAGGAACACCGGCGGCGAAGGCGAGUCCCUGGUCCGCAUCUGACGCUGAGGCGCGAAAGCGUGGGUAGCAAACAGG